GAUGAACGCUGGCGGCGUGCCUAAUACAUGCAAGUCGAGCGAACGGACGAGGAGCUUGCUUCUCUGAUGUUAGCGGCGGACGGGUGAGUAACACGUGGAUAACCUACCUAUAAGACUGGGAUAACUUCGGGAAACCGGAGCUAAUACCGGAUAAUAUUUUGAACCGCAUGGUUCAAAAGUGAAAGACGGUCUUGCUGUCACUUAUAGAUUGAUCCGCGCUGCAUUAGCUAGUUGGUAAGGUAACGGCUUACCCAGGCAACGAUGCAUAGCCGACCUGAGAGGGUGAUCGGCCACACUGGAAGUGAGACACGGUCCAGACUCCUACGGGAGGCAGCAGUAGGGAAUCUUCCGCAAUGGGCGAAAGCCUGACGGAGCAACGCCGCGGGAGUGAUGAAGGUCUUCGGAUCGUAAAACUCUGUUAUUAGGGAAGAACAUAUGUGUAAGUAACUGUGCACAUCUUGACGGUACCUAAUCAGAAAGCCACGGCUAACUACGUG
rnacentral:rRNA from 1 species